ACACAACAAGUACAUUCUUCACCUCGCCCUGCUAAUCAAGAGCAAAGCCAAUAAGCCAUACAGCUGCAUCUGCAUUACUUCUUAUUCUUCCCACAAUAGCGAACGCCGCCCUGCUUCUCCUCAUCACGCUGCUGGCCACUGCCCGUGCUAGCGGCAUCUCUUCAGCCACGGCCAGCAGCAGCGGAACCCAACAGCCCUCGGGGAGGAGGAGCCGUUUCCUGCGUGUUGGUGGCGCUGCUCACN
rnacentral:lncRNA from 1 species